UGAGCAAUCUGCCCUUCACAUCGGAAUAACCAUUGGAAACGAUGGCUAAUACCGAAUAUGACUUCGGAUCGCAUGAUCUGAAGUGGAAAGCUCCGGCGGUGAAGGAUGAGCUCGCGGACUAUCAGCUUGUUGGUGAGGUAAUAGCUCACCAAGGCGAUGACGGGUAGCCGGCCUGAGAGGGUGACCGGCCACACUGGGACUGAGACACGGCAGA
rnacentral:rRNA from 1 species